rnacentral:rRNA from 1 species
UACGUAGGGUGCAAGCGUUACUCGGAGUUACUGGGCGUAAAGCGUGCGCAGGCGGUUGUGCAAGACAGAUGUGAAAUCCCCGGGCUCAACCUGGGAACUGCACUUGAAACUACGAUGCUGGAGUAUGGCAGAGGGAGGUGGAAUUCCACGUGUAGCGGUGAAAUGCGUAGAGAUGUGGAGGAACACCGAUGGCGAAGGCAGCCUCCUGGGCCAAUACUGACGCUCAUGCACGAAAGCGUGGGGAGCAAACAGG